rnacentral:lncRNA from 1 species
ACCCGUCUGUCUGUCUGAAAUUGCACGCAUGAAAUGCAGCGCCCCCCAGAAAAGGGACAUCAGUACAAAAUAAUGUACCGAGUAUGUAAGGCACUAUACUGAAAGCUAAAACUGAACUGAUAAUAUAAUAACUGAAAGUAACUGAAAGUCAAUGAUAAUCUGAAGAUAUGCUUACUUGCUGAUACUGACUCAACUCUCUCAAUAUAGUAAGUAAAAUAGUUGUCCGGUCUUAUAAGGCUCGCUAUAUAUAUAACUGCUCUGCCAUAGUAGGCUCACUCAUAGACACUCGACCAUACUAGGCUCUGUAUCUCGGCCAACUGGGCUGGUUCAUAGGCGCUCGGCCACAAUAGGGGCAUGCCCAUCGAUUAUAUCUCGAUGGUAAUAAAAAUACUAUAAUAUUAUAUAUAUAGACUCUCUUCUCUCUUGACUGGAAAAAAAAAAUGCUCAAUUGAAUAUGAAGUCUCGAUAAGGAGAAUAUUGUAACUUACAAGCCUAGAAAAAUAUACGUAGUUUCCGAAAUAUGAAUUUUUCUUUAUGCCUCGUUAUCAAACUCGUGUAAUUACGAGAUCAUGUUAAAAUGAAGGAAGGGCUUAGCCUUAACAUACCUUAGCCGAUUCUCUUGACAAUCCCUCUAACACACGUUGAAUGUAACAACACGUAAUGGCGGAUCGAAGUAGGGAAAUAUUCAUAUGAUAUUCUUGGAAAAGGUUGCACCGUACUCCUUUAGAAUCACAAAAUCUCACGUUGCUAAUGUGCUAAAAAAAUCUCUUUGGUUGAAAAAAUCACGUAGGAAUUUGUAGUGUAAGAAAUCACGUAGGAAUUUGGUUGUGGUGUUUUUUGUAGGAAUUGCUAGCAUUUGAUUGUAUUAGCUUUGUAUACAAAAUAUAAGAAAUGAAGUAGCAUCUGAUUGUACUGUUUGGUUGUAAGAAAUUUGUUGAAAACUUGUAGGAAUUUGUAGGAAAUGGGUAAGAAUUCACGUUGCUAUGUGCAAAGGCUCACAUCUGAUUUGUAGUCUUUUUAUUCAAAA